rnacentral:lncRNA from 1 species
GACGUGGAGGUACUGCUGGUAACAAGUUCCGGAUGUCACUGGGUCUACCAGUGGCAGCCACUGUGAACUGUGCUGAUAACACUGGAGCCAAGAACCUGUACAUCAUUUCGGUGAAGGGAAUCAAAGGGCGCCUUAACAGGCUUCCCUCUGCCUGUGUUGGUGACAUGGUUAUGGCAACUGUGAAGAAGGGAAAGCCUGACCUCAGGAAGAAGGUGAUGCCAGCUGUCAUUGUGAGGCAGCGCAAGCCAUGGCGCCGAAAGGAUGGUGUCUACAUGUACUUUGAAGGUACAUCUCUUAUCAUGUCAGGGUAGAUUGACUUUGCAAUGAUUUAAUCGUUUGAGCUAUUGCAUGCUUGUAAAAUUUGUGACUUCUUUUCAUUUGAUUUUGGUUCUUUAGAAUGUGCUGUCUUGUAUACUGAGCUAGUGUUCUACUUUGCAAUCAUUUCAUAUUGAUCAACACACUAUAUUUGUUGUCUGCAAUACAUAAUUCUGAGAAGUUAUUAUAUGAAGAUUGAAAUUCUCCGGAAACAAUCUCAGUGCACUAUAUUGAUAACUGGUAGUGUUGCAUCGUGACAUAAAGGAGUGACCUUCCAAUCUGGUCAUUUGUCAGGAGGAAGCAUAGAUGUGCACUGGCCUAAACAGCAUUGUGCAUUCUUCUGGUGUGCAGUGUUACCUGUCUCCUGGCACAUGCUGAAGUAUUAGCGGCACAAUAUCCAGCACUAUGCAUUUGUUCAGAUAGUAUAUUUCCAGUAAUUAUACCUUUCUGCUGGGAGAUAGUCCAUUAUAGAUUUGAGAUCAGGUUUGGAUUGAUAGGUACCAGCUAUGCCUUGAUAACUCAAUUUGGUGUUAUGUACUGUUGCUAUGAGUUAUGUUCUGAGAUGAUAUGUUUUUGCUUUCUUUUGUGUUAUGGACCUCUGUGGUUCAGCAACUUUUUAUACUUUAUUACAUGCUGCUUUUGGUCUUUACUUUUAAAGAUCACACUGACUUGUAGCGCUCAUGCACUAAUGUUCUGUUUAUGUGAUGUUUCAGACAAUGCUGGAGUGAUCGUGAACCCAAAGGGAGAGAUGAAAGGUAUAACCUUGAAAGUUCUGGUGGUUCUAUAUGCAUGUCUAACCUGCAGUAGGAAUAGUUGAAAAGGGCAGAAUAUUAGGAAGCUAUUGUCGAAUAACAUUGUGCUAAUUCAUACUUGCUACGUGAACAGUUUGAAUGAUAUGCAUCUGCAUCGUGCAGGUUCUGCCAUCACUGGACCUAUCGGAAAGGAGUGCGCUGAUCUGUGGCCCAGGAUUGCUAGCGCAGCAAAUGCGAUCGUCUAAUGGAAGCAGCUAGUUGAAGUUUAUCAGUAGCAUU